rnacentral:rRNA from 1 species
CCUACGGGGGGCAGCAGUGGGGAAUAUUGGACAAUGGGCGAAAGCCUGAUCCAGCCAUGCCGCGUGUGUGAAGAAGGCCUUCGGGUUGUAAAGCACUUUCAGUGGGGAAGAAAGCCUUGGGGCUAAUACCCUCGAGGAAGGACAUCACCCACAGAAGAAGCACCGGCUAACUCCGUGCCAGCAGCCGCGGUAAUACGGAGGGUGCGAGCGUUAAUCGGAAUUACUGGGCGUAAAGCGCGCGUAGGCGGUCUGAUAAGCCGGUUGUGAAAGCCCCGGGCUCAACCUGGGAACGGCAUCCGGAACUGUCAGGCUAGAGUGCAGGAGAGGAAGGUAGAAUUCCCGGUGUAGCGGUGAAAUGCGUAGAGAUCGGGAGGAAUACCAGUGGCGAAGGCGGCCUUCUGGACUGACACUGACGCUGAGGUGCGAAAGCGUGGGUAGCACACAGGAUUAGAUACCCCUGUAGUC